GGCUUUGUGGAUCCUGAAAUAAUAAAAGAGGACCAGAGCUCCGGGUUCUCCCGCCGACGUUCCACACGCGCUCCACUUCCAGCGAAGAACGCUCAGUCAGCACGCCGCACGCCGAGCGGUUUGGUGCAGAGAUUGCUGUUCCCCAGAGGAUGAACCCCACUGACUUUGCCCCGUUGUUUACAGCCUCCACGCUCUUCCAUCAGAAACAGGACUCACGUGGUCUAAAAGCACAGCAAAGUUAAUCCACCUGUGAACCUUUAGAUAUAAACUGGUGGCCACGGGGUUCCAGUGCGGCCCCUGAUCAGGACCCUGGAGAGCGGGACGUCCAGGUUUCUAUCUGCUCUAAUCGUAUCCCAGCAUGCAAUGGGGUAAUCCAUGCUGCCGAUCCUACAGCGGACUUCUGAGAUGUGGAAAAUGAAUAAAUGUUUCAUAACCGAAGACCCGAAGACCUCAGAAUGAAUAUUCCGAGUGCUUAAUCAAAUAAAGCACCUUUUCCAUAGAGACAGAUUAUCUUUGGAUAUUUGUAUUAACCCUCCAGCCCCAGAACAAAGAGCCCUCAAACUGUUUAACACCAACCACAUCAGAUUUAUCGUUGCACGUUUUAUGAAGCAUGUAGGCACUGUCGGGCCUGCACAUCCUGAGCUCUGCGUUGUACGUUUCACCUGC
ensembl:lncRNA